UACGUAGGGUGCGAGCGUUAAUCGGAAUUACUGGGCGUAAAGCGUGCGCAGGCGGUUCGUUGUGUCCGAUGUGAAAGCCCCGAGCUCAACUUGGGAACGGCAUUGGAAACUGGCGGGCUGGAGUGUGGCAGAGGGGGGUGGAAUUCCACGUGUAGCAGUGAAAUGCGUAGAGAUGUGGAGGAACACCGAUGGCGAAGGCAGCCCCCUGGGCCAACACUGACGCUCAGGCACGAAAGCGUGGGGAGCAAACAGG
rnacentral:rRNA from 1 species